rnacentral:lncRNA from 1 species
CCUGUUCUCCUGUUCUCCUGUUCUACUGUUCUCCUGUUCUACUAUUCUCCUGUUCUCCUGUUCUACUGUUCUCCUGUUCUCCUGUUCUCCUGUUCUCCUGUUCUACUGUUCUCCUGUUCUCCUGUUCUACUAUUCUCACAAGUUGUUUUGGGAGGUCCACUUUUGCACCUUCCUGCUGGAGUCCAGCCAGGUGUUGUCUGUCUCAGAGAUGUUCUCUUCUUCAUACUGCAGAACCAUCCAUCUCCAUCAUCUUAAUGUAAAGGGUGACCUCUUCAAUGUGUCGUACCCGUCAUGGAAAACCUUAGACCGCCAUUUUGUUUGAGUGUUGGUGAUUAAUUUAGUCUGUUUAACUGUAAGGCUGAUUUUAAGAAGGGAGAUUGACAAGUUGAAAUGGUCAGAUAGUAACCCUUGCUCCUGUUAACUCUCUACCUAUCUGUUUAAAAGGAUACUUUGGGAUUUAGGCAAUGAGGUCCUUUAUCUACUGACCCAGAGUCAGAUGAACUCCUUUAUCUACUGACCCAGAGUCAGAUGAACUCCUUUAUCUACUGACCCAGAGUCAGAUGAGGUCCUUUAUCUACUGACCCAGAGUCAGAUGAACUCCUUUAUCUACUGACCCAGAGUCAGAUGAACUCCUUUAUCUACUGACCCAGAGUCAGAUGAGGUCCUUUAUCUACUGACCCAGAGUCAGAUGAGGUCCUUUAUCUACUGACCCAGAGUCAGAUUAACUGCCAUAGACUUCCAGUUAUUGCUCUAACACUAGUAUCUAACUUCCUACAUUCUGGACACAGAGACAUAAAAAUGGCAUCAACGAGUUCAACUGACUCUGGGUAAAUAGAUAAAGGUCUCAUUGCCAAAAUCCUGAAGUUUCUCUUUAAGAAUUAUAUCUUAUUAUUAUAUUUACAUCACUGUGUUCUAGAAUGGUAUCUUAUUGUUUUAUUUACAUCACUGUGUUCUAGAAUCAUAUCUUAUUAUUUUAUUUACAUCACUGUGUUCUAGAAUGGUUACAUCCAAUAUUCUAUUGACUUAUCACUAUGAUCUGUAUAUUACCUUUAAGACAGAGGGAACCAUAUGUGUUGUAUGUUACUGUGCCUUUAAGACAGAGGGAACCAUAUGUGUUGUAUGUUACUGUGCCUUUAAGACAGAGGGAACCAUAUGUGUUGUAUGUUACUGUGCCUUUAAGACAGAGGGAACCACAUGUGUUGUAUGUUACUGUACCUUUAAGACAGAGGGAACCACAUGUGUUGUAUGUUACUGUACCUUUAAGACAGAG